GAUGAACGCUGGCGGCGUGCCUAAUACAUGCAAGUCGAGCGAACGGACGAGAAGCUUGCUUUUCUGAUGUUAGCGGCGGACGGGUGAGUAACACGUGGAUAACCUACCUAUAAGACUGGGAUAACUUCGGGAAACCGGAGCUAAUACCGGAUAAUAUUUUGUACCGCAUGGUUCAAAAGUGAAUGACGGUUUUGCUGUCACUUAUAGAUGGAUCCGCGCUGCAUUAGCUAGUUGGUAAGGUAACGGCUUACCAAGGCGACGAUGCAUAGCCGACCUGAGAGGGUGAUCGGCCACACUGGAACUGAGACACGGUCCAGACUCCUACGGGAGGCAGCAGUAGGGAAUCUUCCGCAAUGGGCGAAAGCCUGACGGAGCAACGCCGCGUGAGUGAUGAAGGUCUUCGGAUCGUAAAACUCUGUUAUUAGGGAAGAACAUAUGUGUAAGUAACUGUGCACAUCUUGACGGUACCUAAUCAGAAAGCCACGGCUAACUACGUG
rnacentral:rRNA from 1 species